rnacentral:lncRNA from 1 species
GUCUCGCUCUGUCGCCCAGGCUGGAGUGCAGUGGCACGGUCUCGGCUCACUGCAACCUCCGCUUUCCGGGUUCAAGCGAGUCUCCUUGAAACUGGGAAAAUGAGAAGCCUUGCCCACGAAUCUCCAGCGCAAAAAGCAGCAGCUUUUUCCUCCCCAGCUCCUUUCUGCGUCGGCGGCGAAGAGAGAGCUCUGCUCCCUGCUUUUUUAGAAAAUGGAUUUGACGUGGCCGAACAUGCAGCUAGCCGUGCGACCCGCACAAGGGAGGGACUGUUCUCAGUAGGAGGCUGGACUCAGAGCGGCGCGGCGCCCGGGGCUGUUUCGUGAGCUGGAGCCAGCGGCUGCCCGGGCGGCGGUGUGCGCACUCUCCAGGCUGAGACACGACUGGCUGGCACGAGUUGCUCGGCACCAGCUGAGCUGAACCGCGAGCGGAGGCGGGGCUCCCGACAACCAGUGUGCUGGGGCAGAAUCGGCCCAGGUUGCACGCCCCCUGAACCACCCUCGCGUCUCCCCGACCCCUCUCUCGCUGGCUCAGAUGAAUGAUGACGGCAGAGGGCAGAGAGCUUAGAGGACACCGUACCAAGCCCCGUCCCUCGCCCAUCCCAACGAAGGUCUUAGAAUACAAUCAACCAACUACAGGAAGAAUUUGUAGAGGAGGUUUUCUUGUGUGUCUGCAUCGCCCCACCCACAGAGAUGAUAAAUUUGAGACCCCAAAAGGCCCAAAGUCUCUGCUAAGGUUCUGAUACAGGCUGUGUUCUCCAUUGGAUGGCCCCAGAGAUAUGUUCCCUGAAUUUCUAAAGCUACGACCCACAAGACUUCUCCAGGAUGAAUUUAUUCUUUCAGGCCUCCUAGGCAUUUAACUCAGGAAGAACCUGGCAUGCCUGGGUAUUGGUGAGACUGUGGGGAGUCUGUGUUCUUGGGGGAACCUGUCAUCU